UUUUAUUCUACUGACGAUUGACUCUCUCUAUUGCAACUGAAAUGUCACAUCGAGCGAAUAGAUAAUAUAUGUAUAGAAACUUUCGAAGGGAUUGCAUGCAAAUAUGUUUGUAAUAUUUCUCCCCCAUUGCACAAGGACACUGUGAUCUUGAGAGGCAGGUUCGACAUUAUAACCACCAAUACAAUCCCACGCGCCUCCUUGUUCGGAAGACGGUACCACUCAAGCAUGCAAGAUGUUCUAGCUACUUUCUCUGCCUGUUAUUGAUAUGAUCAAGAAUAAUUGUGGCACAGAUAUAAUGUUUACCAUAAAAAUAAAUAGACAAAUGUACCUGAACAGUAAGCUGUUCACCAGUAUAACAAAACAUGAACAUGUUUAUCAUCAUGGAUAUAAGUGAUG